rnacentral:misc_RNA from 1 species
AAUCUUCAACUUACAAGCUCUUUGCGGGGUUUGUAGGCUUGGACUUGGAGGCUUGUCGGCCUUGAAUGGUCGGCUCCUCUUAAAUGCAUUAGCUUGAUUUCCUUGUGGAUCGGCUGUCGGUGUGAUAAUGUCUACUCCGCGACCGUGAAGCGUCUGGCAAGCUUCUAACCGUCUCGUUACGGAGACAGCUUUAUGAC